rnacentral:tRNA from 1 species
GGAGAGGUGGCUGAGUGGUCGAAAGCGCGUCACUGCUAAUGACGUAGGGGUGUUAAAUCCCCUCGAGGGUUCGAAUCCCUCCCUCUCCG